rnacentral:lncRNA from 1 species
CUUCAACAUUACAUCAGCAUUCUUUGAGGGGGUUUCUAGAGUCCAGCCAUGCCCGUGUUAUAUUUACUCAGGAAGCCCCAGAACAAUAAGCAAAUGGCUCUCUACUCUUCAUUGUGUAUAACUAGAGUGACUCCUUACAGAGAAAUUUCUGUGGUAUCUCAAGUGACUUAUUUAAUUCUCUCAUUUUGUCCCACUAAAAGAUUUCUUAUACAUGCAGAGCCCUUUAACCCCCACCCCAGGCUGGAGUCCUGUUCAUUGCCUCAGUUUGCCCAGCAUAGAGAGCCUCUGGGAUGUUCUGAGGGUGACUGAAAUGCUGAGCAUGUUAAAGUUCCUCUACCUCAAGAGAGCUUUCCUGACCUGACUCUUUCUCUUCGGAUGCUCCUUGACCCCCACCACCACCCAGUUCCCAUACCCCCUCCUGCUGCCCAUCGCGGUAUCCCGUCCUGAUUAGACAGGACAGCCCAGCAGAAGCUGAGACAGACAGCAGAGAAUGGAGGCUACUCAUGGGUGCGUGGCUCUCUAAGCAAGCUCAUCUCCUGUCUCAAGCACGGCCCUAGCAAGGGCAGCUUCAGCAGCACAGAGGCCUCAGGACUGGGUUUUAUGGGAGCUAUAGGUUGGGCACGGGAUGGAAGCCAAGGUGUGUGGCUCCAAGAUGUGGAUGAGCCUGGACCUUUCUUCCUCCACUCCCCACCAGACUG